rnacentral:tRNA from 1 species
GGCUGUGUGGUUUAGUGGUAAGUACAUUGGACUGAGAGUCCAGAGCCCUAGGUUGCAUUCCCAGCUCUGACA